rnacentral:rRNA from 1 species
AUUGAACGCUGGCGGCAGGCCUAACACAUGCCAGUCGAGCGGAUGAAGGGAGCUUGCUCCUGGAUUCAGCGGCGGACGGGUGAGUAAUGCCUAGGAAUCUGCCUGGUAGUGGGGGAUAACGUCCGGAAACGGGCGCUAAUACCGCAUACGUCCUGAGGGAGAAAGUGGGUGAUCUUCGGACCUCACGCUAUCAGAUGAGCCUAGGUCGGAUUAGCUAGUUGGUGGGGUAAAGGCCUACCAAGGCGACGAUCCGUAACUGGUCUGAGAGGAUGAUCAGUCACACUGGAACUGAGACACGGUCCAGACUCCUACGGGAGGCAGCAGUGGGGAAUAUUGGACAAUGGGCGAAAGCCUGAUCCAGCCAUGCCGCGUGUGUGAAGAAGGUCUUCGGAUUGUAAAGCACUUUAAGUUGGGAGGAAGGGCAGUAAGUUAAUACCUUGCUGUUUUGACGGUACCAACAGAAUAAGCACCGGCUAACUUCGUG